CGAUGCAUAUAAAUAUACUGAAUGUUAUGAAGCUGUAUACCGUCGUCGUACCAAGAAUGUUAGCAGAUACGAAACACUAAGUUUCAAUGACUUGGUAAACGGGGCAGAUUCGACUACAGCCUGUCUAAGACUUUGUGUUAUUUUUAUCUUCAUGUAUGUGUAACGCUUCGGUAUUUUAUAAAACAGUGCAUGUAAUUAUCAU